UUGCUCACUUCAGCAGCCGACAUAAUAAAAUUGAAAUGAUACAAAGAAUAUUAGCAUGACCCCUGCGUAAGGAGGAUGCAUAAAUCUGUGAAGUAUACAUAUUUUGU
ensembl:snRNA U6 U6 spliceosomal RNA